UACAGAGGUCUCAAGCGUUGUUCGGAUUCAUUGGGCGUAAAGGGUGCGUAGGCGGCGAGGUAAGUCAGGUGUGAAAUCCCGGAGCUCAACUCCGGAACUGCACUUGAUACUGCCCUGCUAGAGUACUGGAGAGGGAACUGGAAUUUACGGUGUAGCAGUGAAAUGCGUAGAUAUCGUAAGGAAGACCAGUGGCGAAGGCGAGUUCCUGGACAGUUACUGACGCUGAGGCGCGAAAGCGUGGGGAGCAAACAGG
rnacentral:rRNA from 1 species